GACGAACGCUGGCGGCGUGCUUAACACAUGCAAGUCGAACGGUGAAGCUCCAGCUUGCUGGAGUGGAUCAGUGGCGAACGGGUGAGUAACACGUGAGCAACCUGCCCCUGACUCUGGAAUAAGCGCUGGAAACGGCGUCUAAUACUGGAUACGAGAAGGGUCCGCAUGGGCACUUUCUGGAAAGUUUUUCGGUUGGGGAUGGGCUCGCGGCCUAUCAGCUUGUUGGUGAGGUAAUGGCUCACCAAGGCGACGACGGGUAGCCGGCCUGAGAGGGCGACCGGCCACACUGGGACUGAGACACGGCCCAGACUCCUACGGGAGGCAGCAGUGGGGAAUAUGGCACAAUGGGCGAAAGCCUGAUGCAGCGACGCCGCGUGAGGGAUGACGGCCUUCGGGUUGUAAACCUCUUUCAGCAGGGAAGAAGCGAAAGUGACGGUACCUGCAGAAGAAGCACCGGCUAACUACGU
rnacentral:rRNA from 1 species